AGAGUUUGAUCCUGGCUCAGAAUCAACGCUGGCGGCGUGCCUAACACAUGCAAGUCGAACGUGAAAGCCCCGCAAGGGGUGAGUAGAGUGGCGCACGGGUGAGUAACACGUGGAUAACCUGCCUUUGAGUGGGGAAUAACCUUCCGAAAGGAGGGCUAAUACCGCAUAAGACCUUCCGACACAAGUCAGGAGGUUGAAAGGAGCGAUUCGCUCGAAGUGGGAUCCGCGCCUGAUUAGCUAGUUGGUGAGGUAAUGGCUCACCAAGGCUACGAUCAGUAGCCGUCCUGAGAGGGAGCACGGCCACACUGGAACUGAGACACGGUCCAGACUCCUACGGGAGGCAGCAGUGGGGAAUUUUUGGCAAUGGGCGAAAGCUUGACCAAGCAACGCCGCGUGGGUGAUGAAGUAUCUUGGUACGUAAAACCCUUUCGGCAGGAACGAACCCAAUGACGGUACCUCAGAAGAG
rnacentral:rRNA from 1 species